CUUGAGCCUGGUGAGAUUCAAACUGCCAAAUUGGAAGGAGACGGCCGUCAGCAAAGUAGCCUGCAGUACUGCAUUCUAACCACUGUGCCCCGGCUCUUAAGAAUAAGAGGGAAAUCAGUUUGUCACAUUAAUUCCUCCAGAAUAUGGUGAUGAGUCUUUUCCCCUUCACUUUCAAGCUAUGAAAAUCUGGAAGACAAGCUUUCCUGCCGUUUUUCACUUUGGAAAACAUGAACAAUGCCUUAAGCCAGGUCUUGGGGAAUUAGCACCUGCAACCACUUCAAUAAAGGAGACAGGCAUAAGCAGCUGAAGCUGGCUGUCAGGAGAUCAACAUUUUGCUUUCAAUUGCUCAAGCUGGAUGUGUGCAAGAUGGAUGAAAGAGGAAAGAAUUACUCCACUUCAUUUUAUGUUUAGAUACUUUGAAAGUUAAGGUCAUGUAAGAUUGAAUUUACAUAAAAGUAUAAUCCAGAUUCCAUGUGAGAAAAUGUGUUCUUAAAACAUCUGUUUCAAGUCAACCACCAGCGAAACUAUUUU